UGGAAUGAAUUUGAUUUAGUGUUUAGCUUUUUCUAGAUUUUUUAUUAAUGCAUAUAGGAAACUGGAAAGUUGCUUCCUAGGAAUUAAUUUUGACCCCAUUUCCAGUUUCAUGAACUUUAGCAACUUAAAGAAAGUGCCUAAUAUACCUGAAUAUUGAAUCAUAAAUCUGUGUUUUUAUUGAGUUUAAGCCAGAGUGCUGAGUGAAAAUCUUGUAUUGUUUAAACUGUCUGACUAUUUCGUCGUGUCUAUUAAUUUUCUAAUAGGUAAGGGAUGAGCUUCGUAAUGAAACUUUGCAGCUUGCUAGGGAAAAUCUAGAAAAAGAACCAAGGAUCAUGGAGCUUAGAAAUCAGGUUGCUUAUGAUGAUUUUGUUGCUGCUGGAUCAUUUGCAGCUGCAAGAGAGAAAAGACUUCUAAGUUUGUUUUUCCAAGUAUUGUUUAUGUUUUCUGUAUGAUUUUUGCAUUUUGAAAUCUAUCACGGUCUAAUUUUGGUGAAGGUCUACACUUGAUCAAAGUCAUUGAAGAAGGUUGUGGAUGCUUCAUUGAUCAAAGCCAUUGAAGUAGUGCCGGAUUUGAAGGCUUAUUUGGGUGCAACAUACUUAAGUAGUAUCAAUUUAGUAUAUAUUUUCAUG